rnacentral:rRNA from 1 species
UUCGAUUCUGGCUCAGGAUGAACGCUGGCGGCGUGCCUAACACAUGCAAGUCGAACGGGUCUAUCGUCUUGGAGGCUUCGGCCAAAGAGGCUUUAGAUUAGUGGCGGACGGGUGAGUAACGCGUGGAGAACCUGCCCUGUACUGGGGGAUAACAGUGAGAAAUCACUGCUAAUACCGCAUAAGCGCACGAGGCCGCAUGGCCUUGUGUGAAAAAACUCCGGUGGUACAGGAUGGCUCCGCGUUGGAUUAGCCAGUUGGCGGGGUAACGGCCCACCAAAGCGACGAUCCAUAGCCGGCCUGAGAGGGUGAACGGCCACAUUGGGACUGAGACACGGCCCAGACUCCUACGGGAGGCAGCAGUGGGGAAUAUUGCACAAUGGGGGGAACCCUGAUGCAAGCGACGCCGCGUGAAGGAUGAAGUAUCUCGGUAUGUAAACUUCUAUCAGCAGGGAAGAUGAUGACGGUACCUGACUAAGAAGCCCCGGCUAACUACGUGCCAGCCGCCGC